UGGGGAAUAUUGCACAAUGGGCGCAAGCCUGAUGCAGCCAUGCCGCGUGUGUGAAGAAGGCCUUCGGGUUGUAAAGCACUUUCAGCGAGGAGGAAGGUGGUGAACUUAAUACGUUCAUCAAUUGACGUUACUCGCAGAAGAAGCACCGGCUAACUCCGUGCCAGCAGCCGCAGUAAUACGGAGGGUGCAAGCGUUAAUCGGAAUUACUGGGCGUAAAGCGCACGCAGGCGGUUUGUUAAGUCAGAUGUGAAAUCCCCCGGGCUCAACCUGGGAACUGCAUUUGAAACUGGCAAGCUAGAGUCUCGUAGAGGGGGGCUAGAAUUCCAGGUGUAGCGGUGAAAUGCGUAGAGAUCUGGAGGAAUACCGGUGGCG
rnacentral:rRNA from 1 species